rnacentral:rRNA from 1 species
UUAGAUACCCUGGUAGUCCACGCCGUAAACGAUGUCUACUUGGAGGUUGUGGCCUUGAGCCGUGGCUUUCGGAGCUAACGCGUUAAGUAGACCGCCUGGGGAGUACGGUCGCAAGAUUAAAACUCAAAUGAAUUGACGGGGGCCCGCACAAGCGGUGGAGCAUGUGGUUUAAUUCGACGCAACGCGAAGAACCUUACCUACCCUUGACAUCCAGAGAACUUUCCAGAGAUGGAUUGGUGCCUUCGGGAACUCUGAGACAGGUGCUGCAUGGCUGUCGUCAGCUCGUGUUGUGAAAUGUUGGGUUAAGUCCCGCAACG